GGCAAUGUAGCUCAGUGGUAGAGUGCUUGCCUAGCAUGUAUGAAGCCCUGAGUUCAAUUCCUCAGUACCA
rnacentral:tRNA from 1 species